CGGUUGAUCCUGCCGGAGGCUAUUGCUAUCAGGGUUUGACUAAGCCAUGCGAGUCGAGAGGUGAAAGACCUCGGCAUACUGCUCAGUAACACGUGGAUAAUCUGCCCUCAGGUGAGGAAUAAUCCCGGGAAACUGGGGCUAAUGCCUCAUAGGAGACAGGUGCUGGAAUGCUCUGUCUCCCAAAGGUCCGCCGCCUGAGGAUGAGUCUGCGUCCGAUUAGGUUGUUGUUGGGGUANCGGCCCAACAAGCCUUUGAUCGGUACGGGUUGUGGGAGCAAGAGCCCGGAGAUGGAUUCUGAGACAUGAAUCCAGGCCCUACGGGGCGCAGCAGGCGCGAAAACUUUACAAUGCGAGCAAUCGUGAUAAGGAAACCCUGAGUGCCUGUCAAUGCAGGCUGUUCUGGUGUCUAACACACACCAGGAGAAAGGGCGGGGCAAGACCGGUGCCAGCCGCCGCGGUAAUACCGGCUGCUCGAGUGAUAGCCACUUUUACUGGGCUUAAAGCGUUCGUAGCUUGGUCGUUAAGUCUCUGGGGAAAUCUUUUGGCUCAACCAAAAGGCGUCUCAGGGAAACUGGCGAUCUUGGAACCGGGAGAGGUAAGACGUACUUCGGGGGUAGGAGUGAAAUCUUGUAAUCCCCGAGGGACGGCCGAUGGCGAAGGCAUCUUACCAGAACGGCUUCGACAGUGAGGGACGAAAGCUGGGGGAGCAAACCGGAUUAGAUACCCGGGUAGUCCCAGCCGUAAACGAUGUGCGUUAGGUGUGUCAGUGACCACGAGUCGCUGAGGUGCCGAAGGGAAACCGUGAAACGCACCGCCUGGGAAGUACGGUCGCAAGGCUGAAACUUAAAGGAAUUGGCGGGGGGGCAC
rnacentral:rRNA from 1 species